AGAGUUUGAUCCUGGCUCAGAACGAACGCUGGCGGCGCGCUUAAUACAUGCAAGUCGAGCGAGAAAGUACCCUUCGGGGUGCGAGUAAAGCGGCGAACGGGUGAGUAACACGUAAGCAAUCUGCCUCUAAGUCUGGGAUAGCCUUGCCAACGCGGGGAUAAUACCGGAUGUUAUUUCGAGAUCGCAUGGUUUUUUGAAAUCAAAGGUGACCUCUCCUUGAAAGUUAUCGCUUAGAGAUGAGCUUGCGGACCAUUAGCUUGUUGGUGGGGUAACGGCCUACCAAGGCUGCGAUGGUUAGCCGACCUGAGAGGGUGAUCGGCCACAUUGGGACUGAGAUACGGCCCAGACUCCUACGGGAGGCAGCAGUAGGGAAUUUUGCGCAAUGGACGAAAGUCUGACGCAGCGACGCCGCGUGAGCGAUGAAGGCCUUCGGGUCGUAAAGCUCUGUUGAGUGGGAAGAAAAAUUCUAUGGCUAAUAUCCAUAGGACAUGACGGUACCAUUCGAGGAAGCCCCGGCUAACUACGUGCCAGCAGCCGCGGUAAUACGUAGGGGGCAAGCGUUGUUCGGAAUCACUGGGCGUAAAGGGAGUGUAGGCGGAACGGUAAGUUAGAAGUUAAAUACACGGGCUUAACCCGUGGCCUGCUUUUAAUACUGCCAUUCUUGAAUAUGGGAGAGGGUAAUGGAAUUCCAGGUGUAGUGGUGGAAUGUGUAGAUAUCUGGAAGAGCACCAGUUGCGAAGGCGGUUACCUGGCCCAAUAUUGACGCUGAGGCUCGAAAGCGUGGGGAGCAAACAGGAUUAGAUACCCUGGUAGUCCACGCCGUAAACGAUGGAUACUAGUUGCUGGAGGAGUCAAUCCCUUCGGUGACGAAGCUAACGCAUUAAGUAUCCCGCCUGGGGAGUACGCUCGCAAGGGUGAAACUCAAAGGAAUUGACGGGGGCCCGCACAAGCGGUGGAGCAUGUGCUUUAAUUCGAUGCAACGCGAAGAACCUUACCUGGGUUUGACAUGGGAGUGAAAGUAACCAGAGAUGGAUGCCUUUCCUUCGGGAACACUCUACACAGGUGCUGCAUGGUUGUCGUCAGCUCGUGUCGUGAGAUGUUGGGUUAAGUCCCGCAACGAGCGCAACCCCUGUCCUUAGUUGCCAUCAGGUAAUGCUGGGAACUCUAAGGAGACUGCCUGGUUUAACCAGGAGGAAGGUGGGGAUGACGUCAAAUCCUCAUGGCCCUUACACCCAGGGCUAGACACGUGCUACAAUGGCCGGUACAGUGGGAUGCAAACUCGUGAGAGUAAGCUAAUCCCUUAAAACCGGUCUCAGUUCGGAUUGGAGUCUGCAACUCGACUCCAUGAAGGUGGAAUCGCUAGUAAUCGCGGAUCAGCAUGCCGCGGUGAAUACGUUCCCGGGCCUUGUACACACCGCCCGUCAAGCCAUGAAAGACGGUAGUGCCCGAAGUCGUUCCUCUAACCGCAAGGAAGAGUGCGCCGAAGGUAAGACUGUUAAUUGGGGCUAAGUCGCAACAAGGUA
rnacentral:rRNA from 1 species